rnacentral:rRNA from 1 species
GGGGAAUAUUGCACAAUGGGGGAAACCCUGAUGCAGCGACGCCGCGUGGAGGAAGAAGGUCUUCGGAUUGUAAACUCCUGUUGUUGAGGAAGAUAAUGACGGUACUCAACAAGGAAGUGACGGCUAACUACGUGCCAGCAGCCGCGGUAAAACGUAGGUCACAAGCGUUGUCCGGAAUUACUGGGUGUAAAGGGAGCGCAGGCGGGAAGACAAGUUGGAAGUGAAAUCUAUGGGCUCAACCCAUAAACUGCUUUCAAAACUGUUUUUCUUGAGUAGUGCAGAGGUAGGCGGAAUUCCCGGUGUAGCGGUGGAAUGCGUAGAUAUCGGGAGGAACACCAGUGGCGAAGGCGGCCUACUGGGCACCAACUGACGCUGAGGCUCGAAAGUGUGGGUAGCAAACAGGAUUAGAUACCCUGGUAGUCCACACCGUAAACGAUGAUUACUAGGUGUUGGAGGAUUGACCCCUUCAGUGCCGCAGUUAACACAAUAAGUAAUCCACCUGGGGAGUACGACCGCAAGGUUGAAACUCAAAGGAAUUGACGGGGGCCCGCACAAGCAGUGGAGUAUGUGGUUUAAUUCGACGCAACGCGAAGAACCUUACCAAGUCUUGACAUCCGUUGACCGACAUAGAAAUAUGUUUUUCCUUCGGGACAGCGAGACAGGUGGUGCAUGGUUGUCGUCAGCUCGUGUCGUGAGAUGUUGGGUUAAGUCCCGCAACGAGCGCAACCCUUAUGGUCAGUUACUACGCAAGAGGACUCUGGCCAGACUGCCGUUGACAAAACGGAGGAAGGUGGGGAUGACGUCAAAUCAUCAUGCCCUUUAUGACUUGGGCUACACACGUACUACAAUGGCGUUAAACAAAGAGAAGCAAGACCGCGAGGUGGAGCAAAACUCAGAAACAACGUCCCAGUUCGGACUGCAGGCUGCAACUCGCCUGCACGAAGUCGGAAUUGCUAGUAAUCGUGGAUCAGCAUGCCAUGGUGAAUACGUUCCCG